rnacentral:rRNA from 1 species
AUGCCGCCUAAAUCGGACAGCGUCGAAGGAAUCGUCCUCAACUUCGUCAACGAGCAAAAUAGGCCAUUGAAUUCUCAGAAUGUGGCUGAUGCACUACAGAAGUUUAGUCUUAAGAAGACUGCAGUGCAAAAAGGACUGGAUGCAUUGGCUGACAGUGGUCAAAUAUCCUUCAAGGAGUAUGGCAAGCAGAAAAUCUACCUUGCUCGGCAAGACCAGUUCGACAUUCCAAAUGGGGAGGAACUUGAGGAGAUGAAGAAAGCAAAUAGCAAACUACAGGAAGAACUCGCAGAACAAAAGAAAAUUACUAGUGAGGUCGAAUCUGAGAUAAAGGGUCUACAGUCAAACUUGACACUGGAAGAGAUUAGGUCAAAGGAGGCCAGAUUACAAAGUGAGGUCCAGGAAAUGGAAGAAAAAUUAAAGAAAUUGCAGAGUGGUGUGAUCUUGGUGAAACCUGAAGACAAGAAGAUAAUUGAGGAGACCUUCUCUGAGAAAGCUAACCAGUGGAGAAAGCGAAAGAGGAUGUUCAAGGAGCUAUGGGAUAACAUCACUGAGAAUAGCCCCAAAGACCAGAAGGAAUUUAAGGAAGAACUUGGUCUUGAGUAUGAUGAAGAUGUCGAUGUGAACUUCCAACCGUACAGUGAAAUGCUGGCGAGUCUCAACAAAAGGAGAAAAGUUUCUCGCUGA